rnacentral:rRNA from 1 species
CGGACGGGUGAGUAACGCGUGGGUAACCUGCCUCAUACAGGGGGAUAACAGUUGGAAACGACUGUUAAUACCGCAUAAGACCACAGCACCGCAUGGUGCGGGGGUAAAAACUCCGGUGGUAUGAGAUGGACCCGCGUUCGAUUAGCCAGUUGGCGGGGUAACGGCCCACCAAAGCGACGAUCGAUAGCCGAUCUGAGAGGAUGACCGGCCACAUUGGGACUGAGACACGGCCCAAACUCCUACGGGAGGCAGCAGUGGGGAAUAUUGCACAAUGGGGGAAACCCUGAUGCAGCGACGCCGCGUGAGUGAAGAAGUACUUCGGUAUGUAAAGCUCUAUCAGCAGGGAAGAAAAUGACGGUACCUGAGUAAGAAGCCCCGGCUAACUACGUGCCAGCAGCCGCGGUAAUACGUAGGGGGCAAGCGUUAUCCGGAUUUACUGGGUGUAAAGGGAGCGCAGACGGUUGCGCAAGUCUGAAGUGAAAUCCCGAGGCUUAACCACGGGACUGCUUUGGAAACUGUGCGACUUGAGUAUCGG